UGGGGAAUAUUAGUAAUGGGCGAAAGCCUGAACUAGCAACACCGCGUGUGCGAAGAAGGCCUUCGGGUUGUAAAGCACUUUUUGAGAGGAUGAGGAAGGACGGUACUCUCAGAAUAAGUCUCGGCUAACUACGUGCCAGCAGCCGCGGUAACACGUAGGAGGCAAACGUUAUCCGGAUUUACUGGGCGUAAAGCGCGUGUAGGUGGUUUGGUAAGUAGAGCGUGAAAGCUCCUGGCUCAACUGGGAGAGGUCGGUCUAAACUGCCGGACUAGAGGAUGGUAGAGGGAGGUGGAAUUCCGGGUGUAGCGGUGGAAUGCGCAGAUAUCCGGAGGAACGCCAGUGGCGAAAGCGGCCUCCUGGACCACUCCUGACACUCAGACGCGAAAGCGUGGGGAGCAAACA
rnacentral:rRNA from 1 species